UACACUCCUGCGGGAGGCAGCAGUGGGGAAUUUUGGACAAUGGGCGAAAGCCUGAUCCAGCAAUGCCGCGUGAGUGAAGAAGGCCUUCGGGUUGUAAAGCUCUUUUGUCAGGGAAGAAACGGUGAAAGCUAAUAUCUUUUGCUAAUGACGGUACCUGAAGAAUAAGCACCGGCUAACUACGUGCCAGCAGCCGCGGUAAUACGUAGGGUGCAAGCGUUAAUCGGAAUUACUGGGCGUAAAGCGUGCGCAGGCGGUUUUGUAAGUCUGAUGUGAAAUCCCCGGGCUCAACCUGGGAAUUGCAUUGGAGACUGCAAGGCUAGAAUCUGGCAGAGGGGGGUAGAAUUCCACGUGUAGCAGUGAAAUGCGUAGAUAUGUGGAGGAACACCGAUGGCGAAGGCAGCCCCCUGGGUCAAGAUUGACGCUCAUGCACGAAAGCGUGGGGAGCAAACAGGAUUAGAAACCCCUGUAGUCCCA
rnacentral:rRNA from 1 species